GAUGAGAACGCAGCGAAAUGCAAUAAGUAGUGUGAAUUGCAGAAUUCAGUGAAUCAUCGAAUCUUUGAACGCACAUUGCGCCCCUUGGUAUCCCGAGGGGCAUGCCUGUUCGAGCGUCAUUUCACCACUCAAGCCUGGCUUGGUGUUGGGCGACGUCCUCUUUGGGGACGCGCCUCGAAACGCUCGGCGGCGUGGCACCGGCUUUAAGCGUAGCAGAAUCUUUCGCUUUGGAAGUCGGGGCCCCGUCUGCCGGAAGACCUGCUCGCAAGGUUGACCUCGGAUCAGGCAGGGAUACCCGCUGAACUUAAGCAUAUCAAUAAGCGGAGGA
rnacentral:misc_RNA from 1 species